rnacentral:rRNA from 1 species
CAGGCCUAACACAUGCAAGUCGAGCGCGCCUUUCGGGGUGAGCGGCGGACGGGUGAGUAACGCGUGGGAACGUGCCCUUUGCUUCGGAAUAGUCCCGGGAAACUGGGGGUAAUACCGGAUACGCCCUAUUGGGGAAAGAUUUAUCGGCGAAGGAUCGGCCCGCGUUGGAUUAGGUAGUUGGUGGGGUAAUGGCCUACCAAGCCGACGAUCCAUAGCUGGUUUGAGAGGAUGAUCAGCCACACUGGGACUGAGACACGGCCCAGACUCCUACGGGAGGCAGCAGUGGGGAAUCUUAGACAAUGGGGGCAACCCUGAUCUAGCCAUGCCGCGUGAGUGAUGAAGGCCUUAGGGUUGUAAAGCUCUUUCAGCUGGGAAGAUAAUGACGGUACCAGCAGAAGAAGCCCCGGCUAACUCCGUGCCAGCAGCCGCGGUAAU